ACAGAGAGGUCCGGAUGAGAUCCAGCGUCCUGGGCUGAGGGCUGCCUGGCCACACCAAGGAGAAUGGAGCCCUCAUAUCCGUGAAAACGUGUCGCUGCUCAAAGAGGCCUUCUCUGAGGCAUGAGCAGGAGUGUAACAACAGCUUAGAAGAAAGGUGUCUAAAUUGGGAGCAAAGGUGGCAAUGACGUGGACUUGACACCAAAAAAAAAUUUUUUUAAAGAAAAGAAACAAGUGCCUCUGCAUUUCAGGGGUUUAGGAUUGGCAUUUUUAAAAUGUCAACAAAUAAAUGUUCAUAUCCACACUUGACAUUUUUUCCAAGGAGAAUUUUAAUUGUAUAAUUGCUGGUAAAUUCAUGCAGCCAACAUGGAGGGCACACGGACAAGAUCUAUGAGCAUUACAAGUGCACUUACCUUUGACCCAGCAAUUCUAUCUCUAGGAAUCUAUCCUAAAGAUGCUCCAGAACAUCUAGAGACAACAUAUGCUGAAGGUUAGUCAUUGCAGUCCUCCUUGUGAUGACGAAUGCCUGGGAACAGCCUGAAUAGCACCAACUGAGGGAUGGUGAAAUACAUUUUGGAACCUCCAUGCAGUGGAGUACUACACAGUCAUAAAAAGCAAUGAGUUUUUUAUGGUACUGAAUGUUAAUAAGUGAAAAAAUAAGCUAAUGGUGACAUGCUCUGCAAUGCCACUUGUAAAGAAGGGGGAAGUUAUAUGUUAUUUGCUUGUACUUUUUUUAUGUAUAGAACAUCUCUGGAAGAAUGAAUAAGAAAUUAGUAUCUGCAAUUGCCUCUGGGGAAGAAACCUGGGGGAAGAAGAUAUAUUUUUUACUGUUUGCCCUUUUGUACACUUAGUACCGUGUAUACUUAUUUUUGAAAAGCAAGAGUGUACCAGUUGGUACUUUUCUGGUCUCCCUGGUGAGGUGCCCCUGGGUAAAGCCGUUGUAUGCCCUUGUAAGACCAGAAGAUUAAGAUCUCAAUUGCUGUUCAAUUCAAAACUGUUUUCUCUGCUUGGAGAGCUGGUGGAGAAAAUGAAACAAUGAAAACCAGAGCUGUAGAGUGCAAUCCUGUGAGACAUUUCCCAGUGGGGCCUUACUGGCUCAAACCCCCAUUUCUUGCUCUAAUGUGAACACAGAUGUAUUUAAAAACACAUCAUAGGAUCAAUCUUGCAGCCUGCUGUGCAGAACAAAGGUGCUCCAAAAUGCUUCCCAUUUGAUCGUUGUUUGUUGCUAAUUCAUUUUGCGAACGCAAGACUCAGAGAGGCCAGUAUUUUUUAUUAUAGUUAGUUGCCAGAAUGUGUGAAUGAGCUUAUUACUUUUAGAUGAAGGAAGAAACUAUUUAAAAAUUACUUUUCAAACUACAUGUGACAAAGCCCAGGACAAAUGAACAGAUUUAAUUACAUAAAAUUAGUCACUCGCAAGAAACAACACCACAAGCAUAAAUUUACACCAUUGUUUGGUAGAAUGGUUUGAGACAUUAAAGUAAGGAAGGUGAAAAAUUCCCGUAAUUAUUGCAACAAACAAACAGACAGCAAAUCAACCCAACAAGAACACAAUAUCCUUAUAUUAGGGCAAGAGAACUUAUUGAAACUCAGAACACAUGUAUAAACUCAUAGAACUUUCUAGAAAUUGUCAUAGAAUGAUGCAACACAUUCAAAUACAAAUAAAAUAUCCCCAACUAAGAGCUACACACAGAACAUUAAAUUAUUUAAAAACCAGUCCAUUUUCUACACGAAAGAAACUCACUAUAUUAAUUACUGCAAUACAUUACAUUUUACCUUUCUUACAAAGGUAAAAGUAAGUUAGGUUGUAUCUUAAUGGACAAACAUAUCCUGUAGAAGAGAGAAACUUUUUCCUCUGUGCUAUUUUGUACUUGUAAUUUAAUGACGUGAAAUAUGUAAAAUCUCAACCUGCCCAUCCUUGCAUUGUAGCUGAGUACUCACAUUCCAUGGGGUGGUCUUGUCCUUGACUCUUGGAGGGGCAAGUUCAAGCGGCUACCAUGCACAGAAGGGGAAGAUGAUGAAAGGAGAACUCCGUCUCCUAGGGAAGAAUCAGUCCUACUGCAGUUGAGCUGCACUGAGUUUCCAGAGUGGGGAGUAAUAUGAUCUUCCAACAAUCUUAGGGCAGCACCAAACAGAAACUUAGUAAGUGGAUGACUUUGCUUUCAUGCAAUUAAUCAGAGGAUCCGAUUUGCUGUGUCUUCUGUUGCAUCAGAACAGAAAGCACUUCCCAGCUUUGACUUGUUAAGAAGUUCUCAAUCAAAACAAAUUUUUAAAACGUGCUGGUAUUAAGGAAUCUCCAUCUCUCAGGUCCCAUCAUGAACUGAGGUGGCCAGAAGCUCCCCCUGAGGCUGGCUCUCCGCUUAGAGCUUGGAUGGCUAUUGAAUUCCCCUGUGUUCUGCACCUGUUGCAGGUGUGGCAGAUGGCCAGGUGUGGCAGAGAUCUGUCAUCAUAGGGCCAGGAAACUCCAUGGUCAAGAGUCACCAGCUUCCUCUGGACAGUCUCCCAGAUGAGGAAACCCAGACAGGAAGGGAGUGACACCCCAAGGGUGACACACCUGAGGGGACUUGGGCUUUCCCUGAGGGGUCAGUGGGCAGUGGACUCCUGUGCCAGGUGGUGAGAAAUGGCUCUUCUCUUUCCCAGAGUCACAGACCCCAUUGGAGUUGAGGUAGGCUUAAUUGGAAAGUGUUAGAGUAAGUGUCUGCGGGUAAAGUUUCCCCAGGAGCAGGGAGGGAAAAGUUGGAAGACUGGCAAGUUAAAUCAUCCAGCCAUUGUUUCCAGUUCCAUUUCUUCCUAAUCCUCACUCUAGGACUCUAACUUGCCACGUUUGUGAUGGUUGCUGGUUUUUAAGAUACAAUUUGAUGAAAUUUCCAUCAAUGGGGUACUGGGUAAGUAAGUUAUAAAAUAAGCCAUAUGAUCCAGCAAUUCUACUCCUGGGUAUCUUCCCAGGAGAAAUAAAAAUGUAAGUUUACACAAAAACUUGAACACACAUGUUCAAAGCAGCAUUAUCUGUAAUAGCAAAAAAUGGAAACAACCCAAAUAUCCAACAACUGACUAAUGAAUAAAUAAAAUGUGGUUUAUCCAUACAAUGGAAUGUUAUUCAGCAAUAAACAGGAAUGAAGUACUGAUAUAUGCCAUAACACGGAUGAAACUUGCAAACAUUGUGCUAAAUAAAAGAAGUCAGUCACAAAGGACUACAUAUUGUAGGAUUUCAUUUAUAUGAAAUGCCAAGAAUAGGCAAAUCUACAAAGAUAGAAAAUAGAUUAGUGGUUCACUAGCGGGAGGGAUUGGGGGUGAUAACUAAGGGUAUAUAGCAUUUUUGGAGGGGUAAUAAAACUUCUAAAAUUGUGGUGCUCACUGUACACAAUCUGUGAAUAUACAAAAAAAUUGAAUGCAUACUUUAAAUGGAUGAAUUUUAUGGUAUAUGAAUUAUAUUUCAAUAAAACUGUUAAAAAUUAUAAUAUA
rnacentral:lncRNA from 1 species